ACUUCGGAGUUCCUACGGAACCCGAAGCCAGUGAGCUCCCAAAAGGCCUCGUUCUAGGUAGGGAUCGGAAUAUACAUUUAAGGAUCACUCCCCUGGGCGAUGUGGGAUAUCACACUUCCUCCAUCCCAAAAAAUCAACUUGCACAUUCCUAAAACAAGACCCAAAUUGAAAAUAAACUAAUUUCAAUUUUUCCAUUCUUUCUCCUUCUGUAUAUGAAUUCAAACAACAACACCCCCCCUCUUGAUCUCUCAUUGCUAUUAUGAACUCAAAUGACAACCGCUUGUCCAACCAAGAAUUGAUGAGAUUAAGCAUGGAUUAAUUAAAUUCAGUGGUAGAUAGAUGAGAUGUAACAGUUGAUCAACAAAUUUAGUGGCGGCGAUGAGAUUUUCAUGCCCGCUACUACAACCGAAGAGAUUUUUAUUGCUAGGCUUCCAAUUGUGGAUUCAUGGCAAUUAUUUUAAGCAACAAGCAUUAAUCGCGGAAAGGGGAAAGGAGAACAAGUCUUAGUCAUGGUUAUUCUUGUUGGUCAAAAAGAAAAAUUUACCACAAUGGUGGAAAGGUGUUGUGUCCUUGCAUGACGGUGUGGAUUCGAACCCUAUCGGUGACUAAUCUGACAUCUAACUUACUAACGUUAUCGCUCGACUAAAAAAAUAUUAGUAUGUUAUCUAUAUAUGGUAAGAAUCAUUAGCCCUUGAUCCAGGUUGUCGGAACUCCUAGCUAUGUGUCCUGAGCUUCUUGCUGAUAUACCUUAUGGUUCAAAAUCAGAUAUUUGUAAGUUUUGUAACUCUUAAUCUGUUUCUGUUGUGUUUGUCUGUUUCUUUUUAAAGAAAAUGUUUCAUGUUCUUCCACAUUUAUACUGUCGGUGGAUACCCUUCUUUGCAUUGCAAGUCCAUCCAAGGUGCUCUAUAAAAUGUACAAUUCCGUGGAGAACAAGUCUCAGUGGUCAAAAAGAGCGUAGAAUAUAAAUACGUGUAAAGAUUUUUAAAGAAUGUUGCGUUAUUCGAGAUGUGUGACCAACGCCAUUUCAUGUAAACUGUAAUUGCCGCAAGGAAGCCAUCGUAUUUGAAAAGAUCUUUGUCGCCUUGUUUGGAUCUGGAAUUUACAUUUCGGCCCAAUCAACGUUUAAUCCAUUGAUGACUUGCAAUUGAAAUAGAGAUGUGAUAUUCACGUACCUUUUUUUACUUCUCACAUAUUUUUUUAAUUUUCGAUCAUCGGAUCGGAUGAAUUGAAUAAGAUCAAAGGUUAUAAAUUAAUAAGAAGUGUGUGAGAAGUAAAAAAGGGUGUGUGAAAAGUAAAAAGAGGUGUGCGUGGAUAGCACACCCCUUGAAAUAAUAACAAAAUAUAUAGGGUUGAAAUGUUUUAAAAAUAUAUAAGGUUACAAUUGCAUCCAAAUCUGAUGAGAUAAAAUGUAAUUACCCCAUAAUAUUUGUGUAGUAAGUAAAUAUUCAUCUAACCAUUAUUAAUGCAAUUGUACGUAAAUAUUCAACAUUGGUAUUACACAUUAUAAGAUCAAAACAAGGGGUUUUUGAACUUUAGCACUUAAAAAGACUGAAAUUUAAUAAAUAAAAAAAUCUAGUGUUAGAUUACAUAUUGAUUAUAGUCCAUAGAUGUGUACUUUAGUUCAUAUUCAUAUUCUAUUUUUAUUUUAUUAUCUAAUGUGUUUUAUUCAAUGUUCCCCAUUAAAUAUUUUAAUUUAUUAAUGUAUUUUAUUUAACUUUCUUCAAUUAUAUUUUAUAAAUGUGCCUAAAUGAGAAAAUAUUAAACAAUAGUGACACAUAAGAAAAUAUUUAUUGAUUCAUCCAUGAGAGAGAGAGAGAGAGAGAGAGAUUUGAGUUAUCUUCACGCGCAUAAAAGGAGCAUUUUUGGGAGAGAUGAUCAUGGGAAAUGGAUCCUCUCUGGAUCCAUUAUGUGGGGAUCCUAGAGAUCAUUGCAUCUCAGCCGUUCAUCGUGUAUCGUUCGGUCAGAAAUUAUUUAAUUUUUAUUAUUUGAAAUUAAACAUAAAUAGUAACUGACGAAAACUAGCCGCACAAUAUAAAAUGAACGGUUGAAAUGUGGGGAUCACUAGCAUAAGGAUCCAUUUCCAUGAUCAUGGACUUUUUAUGAUUUAAUUUGGGGUAAAAGGGUAAUUUCAUAACUAUUUAUAUGGGCUUGAAACUCAAGUAACAUUCCUAAUGAAGAUAAGAAUAUUUAAAGAGUAAAGUUUUUAUUGACCUUUUACUAAAUUUACUUAAUUAAAACAUUAAAAUAUAAUCAAUAAAUGAGGUGCAUAAUGUUGGUAUAAAAGGCUUUCUGAUGAACAAGGGGCUCUUGCCUCUUGCCUCUUGGGUGAUAAAUUUAAUCAACUCUCUGCGCGCGAGAUCACUCAGAUAUGCUAUCUUUAGACUCUAUUCUACAGAGAGAUGGUCUGGUAUCUAUAUGGGAUGGCGAUCGUCUCAGUGAUAGGUACCGGAACAUAACCAGGCAAGUGAUUCAAGCACUAAUUUGACAUCUUAAUUAGAUUAUGAUUAUUGUAUAGGUAAUGAAUAUCAUCUAAUUGUUAUUUUUAUUCUCUAGGCUUGUUUUACAAGAAUUGUACGGACGUGACAAUGAUCGUGGCUCCUUGAAUCCGAAAUGUAUCUUUCUAACAAAUGGAGAACCAAGGAUAGAAUCUUCACCAAAUUCGCCAAAGACAUUCCGAGAACAAUUCAUCCCUUUAACUGUCCGCAUGCUCCGCCGUAGAAAUAACCCGGAAAAAUCAGAGCUAACGCAUUUCAUCAAGAUGGCCCGGAAAAGGGAGUAAGGAUUUAGUUUAUUAGUAUUUACGAAAUUUUUAAAUAUCUUUCUUUUCUUAAUAGUAGUAAUGACUUCAUUUAUUUUUACUUCAAUUAAAAAAACAGGAUAACAUUCAAAAAGUUGUUCCAUCAUCCUCUCCUUCAAUCAACUGCCGAACGCUUCAUUUUCCAAUCCGAGCUAUACACCACUUGAAUAAUAACAGGAGAACUCGGAAUUGGAAACAAGAGUAUGAAAAAAAGUUCAACACAAGAGAGGUUAACUUUGAUUCACAGAUCCAAAAAUCUUUUUAUAAAGACGGUCUCAAGUCGGUGCUUAAUUAUGAGCAGGGAAGGGGAUACAAAAAUACCGUUGUGGGUGUCUUGCAGUUCUCAAAGAAUGUUGCUAAUCACAUCUAUCGGCAUUCGACAACACGCAUGACUGAAAAGGAAAUCGAGAACGAGCUGACCAAAAUGUUUCCAACUCGACUGAUCGACUUGUACGAGUUUCUAGUUAGCACGAAUACUAGCAUGGAUUUUCUUGACUGAAAUACUGAGUAAAUAAGAAGAAGAAGAAGAAGAAGAGGGCUCUUAUUGGGUGUUAUCAUUUGCUAGCUUCAACGCCAUCUGAACCUAGUUUUCAUGGAGUAACGUUCACUAAAGUCAGUAAUAUUGGAUGUAUCACUUGUUAAGAUAAGUUGUUCUUAAUUAAUCAAGGUUUUUUUACCUCAGCCAACUUUCUUCCCGGCAACUUGCAGCGGUGGUUGCAGCGGAGGAUACAGUGGAUCCGGUUGUUUUUGGUUUUCUUUUUGUUUGGGCUUCUUUUGGUUUGUUUGGUUGCCCCACUGCUGUUUGUUUGUGUUUUUGGGCAUGUGUUAUAAAUUUUGUUGUUAGUAAUGAAAGUCACCUUUGAUAAAAAAAUAAAAAAAAGUAAAAUAUAGGCUUUUUUUUUUUUUUUUUUUUUUUGAGUGAGUUUAGUUAUCUAAUCAGAGAAUUCUGGACCUCCACUUCAAAUGCUUGCCUAGGCCCU